UGGUUGUAAUUUAGAAUUAAGUGCUGCUUAUCAAUGCUUGGUUGAUUGACUUCUAAUGCCAACUUUAUCUUCCUUGUUUAUUAUUGUGUCUUUAAGAGGGAACAGAACAUAUGGACUGCUAAAUUAAAUCAAUAUCCAUUUCACCAGGCUUCUGAUUACAAUAACUUUUUACUCCAAGGAAAGAGAGCACUAAGAUUUUAUGAACACAAAAAGACUGAAGAAUCAAAUCUCAGCAGCAGUGAAGAUGAAACUGAUAAAGGCUGGGACUUCAGAGGAGACUCUCAUUACAGCAUGCACAAUACGAAGCAUAAAUGUGAGUCCCUUCAAAUAAUAUGAUUGUCCAAAGAUCUUUCAGAAAUAAAUACAUUUAAUAGGACA
rnacentral:lncRNA from 1 species